UACGUAGGUGGCAAGCGUUGUCCGGAUUUACUGGGCGUAAAGGGCGUGCAGGCGGUCUACUAAGUCUAGGGUGAAAGCUCCCGGCUCAACUGGGAGAGGUCCUUGGAUACUGGUGGACUUGAGGGAUGCAGAGGAAAGUGGAAUUCCCGGUGUAGUGGUGAUAUGCGUAGAUAUCGGGAGGAACACCAGUGGCGAAGGCGGCUUUCUGGGCAUUUCCUGACGCUGAGACGCGAAAGCGUGGGGAGCGAACCGG
rnacentral:rRNA from 1 species